UACGAAGGGGGCUAGCGUUGUUCGGAAUUACUGGGCGUAAAGCGUGCGCAGGCGGUGAUGUAAGACAGAUGUGAAAUCCCCGGGCUCAACCUGGGAACUGCAUUUGUGACUGCAUGGCUAGAGUACGGUAGAGGGGGAUGGAAUUCCGCGUGUAGCAGUGAAAUGCGUAGAUAUGCGGAGGAACACCGAUGGCGAAGGCAAUCCCCUGGACCUGUACUGACGCUCAUGCACGAAAGCGUGGGGAGCAAACAGG
rnacentral:rRNA from 1 species